GAUGAAGAACGUAGCGAAAUGCGAUACUUGGUGUGAAUUGCAGAAUCCCGUGAACCAUCGAGUCUUUGAACGCAAGUUGCGCCCGAAGCCAUUAGGCCGAGGGCACGCCUGCCUGGGCGUCACACGUCGUUGCACCCCCAUCUACUCCUUCGGGAUUGCGGGGGGCGGAUGAUGGCCUCCCGUGCGCCUCGUCGCGCGGUUGGCAUAAAUGCCAAGUCCUCGGCGACGCACGCCACGACAAUCGGUGGUUGCGAAACCUCGGUUGCCCGUCGUGUGCGGUCGUCGCGCAUCGAGGGCUCGAAAAAAUUGCCGGGCUCCGGCUCGGCUUUCAACGCGACCCCAGGUCAGGCGGGGUUACCCGCUGAAUUUAAGCAUAUCAAUAAGCGGAGGA
rnacentral:misc_RNA from 1 species